CUGCAGUGAUGAAAAUAUAUUUUAGAUCUAGAAUACUAUCGUGUUGAAAAAAAUACGAGCUUUUUAAAUCUGAGCAGU